AAUCCUACUGUCUACGGUUAUUCAAAGCAUCGCGAUGGCCCGGGACGGGUGGCGAUGUGAUUUCUGCCCAGUGCUCUGAAUGUCAACGUGAAGAAAUUGAAGCAAGUGCGGGUAAACGGCAGGAGUAACUAUGAAUCGCUCUGGUUGCUCCCCACGGGCCAUUUAUCCCUAAAACCCGGACCGUCAUAUCCUAAUUCCGGGAGAUAAUACGCCGGUUGACCAGGUUGCCGCAUCCGUGGUAGUCGGCACGCAAGUGCAGGCGCACAGUGACCAGUACUGUUAUUAUCGUAAGUUUAUUAAUACUGGUAGCUUGGGGAACGGAGAGCCCCGCGGUGCUGGCUGCCACUCUCCGUUCACAGGCGUUGGACUCGGUUGGACGCGGGCGUAUGGUUUUGUCUUGAUUGGUGCUAGUGAGGGUCAUCGGUAUCCCAGGAUUGCGUGUAUGCCCCUUACAGGUGGGGCGUCGGGUUCGGGCGCUACCACCGCCAAGGUCCCAAGAAAUGGAUCAGGGUGCAGGAGCGUUGCCCCACGGGGGCCUUGGUGGCCUAUUCUGCCGGGCUUUAUAAAGGGUGGUAAGCGUGCUAACUACGGAAGUUUCUGCGACACUUAACCUAAGAUUCACGAGAUACUGGGUGGGGGUGGCCUCCCGGUUGCGCCGGGGCGCAAUCUAACCCCGCAUGGCGUUUACACUGGCCCCACUCUCGUUGUGCCGGGGAAAUACCUUGCAGUUUGUGGAUCGGCUUCGGUUAACCCCCGGCACGCAUGCUAGCCUCUUCGGGAGAGUAUGUUGCGCCGCGCAGGAGUGUAGUUUGACUCGCUUAAGGUAGCCAAAUGCCUCGUCAUCUAAUUAGUGACGCGCAUGAAUGGAUUAACGAGAUU
rnacentral:ncRNA from 1 species